GAUGAACGCUGGCGGCGUGCCUAAUACAUGCAAGUCGAGCGAAUGGAUUAAGAGCUUGCUCUUAUGAAGUUAGCGGCGGACGGGUGAGUAACACGUGGGUAACCUGCCCAUAAGACUGGGAUAACUCCGGGAAGCCGGGGCUAAUACCGGAUAACAUUUUGAACCGCAUGGUUCGAAAUUGAAAGGCGGCUUCGGCUGUCACUUAUGGAUGGACCCGCGUCGCAUUAGCUAGUUGGUGAGGUAACGGCUCACCAAGGCAACGAUGCGUAGCCGACCUGAGAGGGUGAUCGGCCACACUGGGACUGAGGCACGGCCCAGACUCCUACGGGAGGCAGCAGUAGGGAAUCUUCCGCAAUGGACGAAAGUCUGACGGGGCAACGCCGCGUGAGUGAUGAAGGCUUUCGGGUCGUAAAACUCUGUUGUUAGGGAAGAACAAGUGCUAGUUGAAUAAGCUGGCACCUUGACGGUACCUAACCAGAAAGCCACGGCUAACUACGUGCCAGCCGCCGCCGUAA
rnacentral:rRNA from 1 species